rnacentral:rRNA from 1 species
GAUCGAACGGCGUGGCGGCGUGCUUAACACAUGCAAGUCGAACGAAGCGCUUAAAGUGGAUUUCUUCGGAUUGAAGUUUUUGUGACUGAGUGGCGGACGGGUGAGUAACGCGUGGGUAACCUGCCUCAUACAGGGGGAUAACAGUUAGAAAUGACUGCUAAUACCGCAUAAGCGCACAGUGUUGCAUGGCACAGUGUGAAAAACUCCGGUGGUAUGAGAUGGACCCGCGUCUGAUUAGCUAGUUGGUGGGGUAACGGCCUACCAAGGCGACGAUCAGUAGCCGGCCUGAGAGGGUGAACGGCCACAUUGGGACUGAGACACGGCCCAA